CAGUCGCCGCGGGAAUACGUAGGUGGCAAGCGUUGUCCGGAAUUAUUGGGCGUAAAUGGCUCGCAGGCGGUUUCUUAAGUCUGAUGUGAAAGCCCCCGGCUCAACCGGGGAGGGUCAUUGGAAACUGGGAAACUUGAGUGCAGAAGAGGAGAGUGGAAUUCCACGUGUAGCGGUGAAAUGCGUAGAGAUGUGGAGGAACACCAGUGGCGAAGGCGACUCUCUGGUCUGUAACUGACGCUGAGGAGCGAAAGCGUGGGGAGCGAACAGGAUUAGAUACCCGCGUAGUCCCUGUCUCUUAUAU
rnacentral:rRNA from 1 species